rnacentral:rRNA from 1 species
AGGACGAACGCUGGCGGCGUGCUUAACACAUGCAAGUCGAACGGAAAGGCCCGCUUGCGGGUACUCGAGUGGCGAACGGGUGAGUAACACGUGGGCAACCUGCCCUCAGCUUCGGGAUAACACUUGGAAGCAGGUGCUAAUACCGGAUAACAACUUUUCAUCGCAUGGUGGAUGGUUCAAAGUUUUUCGGCUGAGGAUGGGCCCGCGGCCUAUCAGCUUGUUGGUGGGGUAAUGGCCUACCAAGGCGACGACGGGUAGCCGGCCUGAGAGGGCGACCGGCCACACUGGGACUGAGACACGGCCCAGACUCCUACGGGAGGCAGCAGUGGGGAAUAUUGCGCAAUGGGCGAAAGCCUGACGCAGCGACGCCGCGUGAGGGAUGACGGCCUUCGGGUUGUAAACCUCUUUCAGCUCUGACGAAGCGCAAGUGACGGUAGGAGCGAGAAGAAGCACCGGCCAACUACGCGCCAGCAGCCGC